GUCUUUUCUGGUUGUUUGGAAAGUCUUCCCUGCCCGGUGAUUUUAUUUUAACGGCCGCGGUAUUUUGACCGUGCAAAGGUAGCAUAAUCAUUAGUCUUUUAAUAGGGGGCUGGUAUGAAAGGGUUGACGAGGCGCUAACUGUCUCAUAUUUACGUAUUUUAAAAUUUAGCUUUUAAGUUAAAAGGCUUAAAUUCUGUUGGAAGACGAGAAGACCCUAUAGAGCUUUAUAAAUUAUUUAGUAUUAAUUUUGUUAAUAAUUUGGUUUUAUUUAUAUAUUUUAUUUUGUUGGGGUGACAAAAACAUAUAUUUAACUGUUUUAUUUUUAUACCAUUUAUUUAUGAUUAUUAGAUCCAUUAUUAUUGAUUGUUAGAUUAAGUUACCUUAGGGAUAACAGCGUAAUCUUCUUUUGGAGUUCUCAUUUACAAGAAGGCUUGCGACCUCGAUGUUGGAUUAAGAUAAUAGUUAGGUGUAGUAGCUUAAUUAAUAGGUCUGUUCGACCUUUAAAUUCUUACAUGAUCUGAGUUCAGACCGG
rnacentral:rRNA from 1 species